rnacentral:tRNA from 1 species
GGGCAAUAGCUCAGUGAAAGGACUUCUGCUUUGCACGCAGAAGGUCCCAGGUUCAAUCCCUGGCAUCUCCA